GGAACAGCAGCAUUUGUAGAGUUUGUCUUUGGAGAUUUUCUUCCUUAGGUUAAUGCAGCUAAGACGACUGAGUUUGCAGACAGUUUAGUCAAUGUGCUUCAACUUUUAAAGACAAUGAAGAUUGAGCGUGUGCAGAUGGUGGCACUUACUCAUAGUCAUGUGCUCUGUGCUCAGCGCCCCGACCUGGCUCAUGAUGGCUGUUCAACGAAAUGCUUCGUGGAUUAAACUUGAGUUAGUAGCUGAGUGUCCCGGGGAUGCUAGGCGCCCUCUAGUACAGGUGAGCUGGUCCCAGCGCAUUUCAGUGGAAGCACUGCUACUGUCCUGCUGUUUUCGGUCCCUUCAGCCUGCUGCCCACUCACUUCCCAUGCCUUCUGCCUGGGCACCGCCCUUCCUCUGCCAGAGCAGGCUUCUGCUUUCCACAUCGGCACGGAGAGCUUCAGAGCGGGCUUAGCAAUAUCUGCAGUGCCUCUAGGUCCCGUGACUUAGAGACACGGUGAAGCUUGGGGGAAAUUUUCAUGAAAUGAGCCGUGGGAGGAAAGAAUAACUAUGAAAAAUCCUUUGCAGCCUAUGAAAUCAACACUGCCUUUUCCUCUUUUAUACGGAAAAUUUAAAACAUUCACAAUGACUCAGCAGAGCCUAAUACAACCAACACUUGUGUACCCAUCACCUGCGUCCAUUUCUUGCUAGUCGGCUUCAUCUGUGAACCCUUCCAGUUCUGUGCGCCCGUCUGCGCGUGUGCGGGUGAAACCAGUGAUGCUCGGCCUUUCUGUAAGAGCUGAUGGAGACGAGCUGCCAAGUCACAUCGGGGGAAUGACUCAGAGAAGGGAGCAGUGGGAGGCAGCCUGCACACACGAUAAACCGGGGCAGGCUCGGCUUUUGCGGAAUCCCCUCAUUCUGUAGACAGUCCUCUAUUGCUGGUGCAGUUGAGAAAGAUAAGGUAACUCCCCAAGGUGCUGGAGGGUCUACCUGCCAGACAGAAGACAGCGUUGUUCACCUGGAUUGCUGCAGUCAGCUAGGGAGAUCUCCUUUGCCUGCCUCUGGUCACCCUCGUCUCUACUCCAUUCUUUCAGAUCAGUUGUUUUCAACUGGUGCGCCCAGACACACAGGCGGACUUGAACUUACUACAGGUCUAAAGACACAUUUUCAUUAGCAUGUGAAAGUAAUUUUGGAUACAACCAACGAGAACAACCACAGAGCAGCAACACCAACUAACAUGUAGAUGACUCUCAGCAGGUGCCAGGUGCUACCCUAAGUGCUUGACAUGCAUCAUUGACUUAAUCCUCAAGAAAGACCUAACGAAGUAGAUUCUGCUGCUGAUCCCACCUUCAGAUGAGGAAACUGGGGCAGAGAGAGGGAAACUUGCCUAAGUUACCACCAAUAGUAAGCGGCACAGCUGGGUUUCAGAAUCUGCUCCUGAAAUAUCGUCAGGAUGAAACAAAUACUCUUCCCGCUAGACGUUCGCUAAGCUGAUUCCUGCCCAUCUUUCGAGAUCCAGCUCAAUGAUCCUCCUCUUUGCCACGUUCCCUGCUUCCUUCCCACUCCUCCCCUGAAGGAGAAAUUGCAGCUUUAUCUUGCUCCAGGAACAGCCCUUGAUAAUAGUGCUUAUCCCGCCAUGGUUGAUGCAUUAAUCACCCUGCCAGUCUGAGAGCUCCAGGCUGUGACUUAUUCACGCCUGUGUUCGUCUGUGUCCUGUAAGGUCUGAAAGGCUGUUGAUCUUCAGUAAUUCUGUCGUUGAGCUGAAGGAGUGGAAAUCAGGAUAUUUUAUGUAUGACUUUUUAGGAGGAAAUUGCAUCUCCUUUCAAAUAGAUUUUAAAAGCUAACUAUUAGUAUUCUGAAUUCGAUUUCAUUCUAUUACACAAACAGUAUUAAGAGAAUGGCUAAGGUGCCUGCAUUCCGGACCUUAGAGACUAGCAUGGGAGGCACAUUACCUAAUUAUGGCAGCGAGUCUGAACACUCUAAUAACAGAGCAAGGAGACUAACCUGGCCCCGGAGGAGGGGAGGUUUCCCUGAGAUAAUGACACUUAAACUGAGACCUAAAAGGAGAAAAAGAAUUAGUCAGGUGAGGAGGGGGAGAAUCAUAUUCUCUGCUCUGACCUGCCAAAAAAACAAAAACAAAAAACAAAAAACAGCAAGAUUCUCGCCCACUCUGGAGAUCUUAUGUUCUUUCAAGACACGGAUAAAAUUCUGCUCUCGCCAAAAAAUUUCCCUGAAUGUUUUAGCUUUGUGACUUAUUUCCUCUGAAAUCCUACAUUCACAAUAUUUUACAAUAAAUGUGAACGUCAGGGGUGUGUCCCAUAUUGGGGCACUGGGUUAUUUCAUGCAAGGACAACCUUGCAUGUUAGGUAUAUCUUUCCUUUUUUCAGAUGAGAAAUUGAGGCUUGGUGAGGUCAGGUGAAUUUUCCUAAAAUCUCAUAACUGGUAAGAGCAAAGGAGAGAGUUGGAUUUCAAAUUUAGGCGUGUUUGGUAGUUUUUGCAAGAGUUCUAUUAGGCAGGUACUCUUAUUUCCAUUUUACAGAUGGAGAAACUGAGAUCCCAAAAAAUUGGCCCCAAGUGACAAAGCUCUUGAAUGUGGCAGGCUCUGGAUUCCAGUUCAGGUCUGUUUUCCUCCAGAGACUGUGCUCUGAAGGGCUGGGACUAAGAAAGUUGCUCGGUAGACUCCCUCUGGUCUGAGCCCAUGUGCCAGCUCCAUGAUUGCUGUCCUGAGGCACUCUUGUGACUCUAGACUCUUGCUACCACAGGGUGGCCAUCCAUGGACCAGUGACACCACCAUCACCUGGGAGCUUAUUAGCAAAACAGAAUCUCAGGCCCCAUCCUAGAUCUAUUAAAUCCAAGUCUGCAUUGUAACAAGAUCCCCGGAUAAUCCCAGAUAAUGCUCUCACAUAAGGUGGGCCUUAGAAUUGCCCUUGCAAUGACAGACAGUGGAGUGUUGGCUUUCUGGGCCCCAGGACAGGUCAGUUCUUAGACUCUAGACUUGUGGAGAGUCCUGGGGCUCUGGACUGGGCUGGAUUUUCUCAAUGACCCCUAGGAGGUCCUGGUGCCCUGUGGAGACUGAGUCCAUGGUAGGAUCUUUGAGCUGGUGUCUAAUAUAUCAAGGGCCCCUCUGGGACUGCUGUUACCUGUGAGCUACAUUUUUAGCUUGUGGCAGUUUGUAAGCUACAGAUUGAAAUUAAAACACACCAAUAGCAUGAUGAAUUUUAAUAUCCUUGGAGGGAAAAAGAGAUAAAUAUCAUGCUCACAUUAUAAAAGGACUUGCAAGAGCCAAAUAACAUUUCCCAUAAACCCCUGCAAAUGUGU